rnacentral:rRNA from 1 species
ACGAGAAUAUUCCGCAAUGGACGAAAGUCUGACGGAGCGACGCCGCGUGAUCGAUGAAGUGCUUCGGUACGUAAAGAUCUUUUAUCGGGGACGAAGUUUAUUGACGGUACCCGAUGAAUAAGGGGCUCCUAACUCUGUGCCAGCAGGAGCGGUAAUACAGAGGCCCCAAGCGUUAUCCGGAAUCACUGGGCGUAAAGGGUGUCGAGGCGGUUGUAUUAGUCGUUCGUAAAAUCUACGAGCUUAACUUGUAGGCGGCGAACGAAACGGUACGACUUGAGGUUUGGAGAGGUGCGUGGAACUCACGGUGUAGGGGUGAAAUCCGUUGAUAUCGUGGGGAACACCAAAGGCGAAGGCAGCGCACUGGCCAAAAUCUGACGCUCACACACGAAAGCUAGGGUAGCGAAGAGGAUUAGAUACCCAGGUAGUCCCUGAGCGGGCUGGCAAGGCGCAU